GACCAUUUCCAUAAGGAUAAGAUGGCAGAGAGACAAUGACACUAUGUUCUAAGUUGAAACUAGCUUAGAACUAGUGCAAUUGCCUGUGUUUUAGUUGUUUUUUUUUGUCUCAUGUUUGUGCCUCUUGAUAAAUUUUCAUUCUGUCCUCUUCUUCCCCUCUCACUAAGACAAUCUUCCUCUUGCCAUUUGAUUUCUUCUCUUCCCGAACAGGAAAUGAUGUUGUGUCCCUAAUAUGUUUUGUCCCUUUGAUGCCAUCUUUUCUUGUCUUUGGCAUGUAAUAGGAUCUGGGCGAAUAGGCAAUCUGCUGCUAGGUCAAAGGAAAGGAAGAUGAGAUAUAUAGCCGAGCUUGAGCGGAAAGUACAGACACUUCAAACAGAAGCAACAUCACUCUUUACCCAGCUUACUCUAGUACAGAGAGACACCAAUGGUUUGACUGCUGAAAAUAGUGAGUUGAAACUGCGCUUGCAAGCAAUGGAGCAACAAGUUCACUUGCAAGACGGUUCAUACAGACAUAUGGAACACACAUAAUAGUCGGCAUGGCUAUCGGUGGUCAAGAUUUAAUGUGUCAGGCAAAAUUCUUCCUCUACAAUUCCUACAUCCGAGCUUAGAGGGUAUUUGGAGGACCUCGAAGAUGUUAUGUUUUCAGAUGGGAAAAGCCCUUCAUUAAUACAGAGAAAGUCAAGAGAUGGCGAACAAAAAGUAUAAGCACCUCAUUUAUAUUUAAGGGCCCUUUCUUCUUUUGUUCGGUAAACACUGAUAUUUUUACUAAAUGCUGUAUAUUUAUGUAGGUGCCCGACAUCUUUAACCGUAUUUUGCAGUCAAGCGCCAUGCAGUUGGCCAGCAUUGCAGAAACAUUGAGCGUUCGGCACAUUGAGGGAAGAAGCAGAUGAGUUGUGCCGAACGCUGGAGGAGAAAGAGGACAGUUCAUGUACUGCCUCAAAUUAGUUUUCUUGUAUCACAAUAUAAUGAAGCUUGCUAAACAAGUUAUGCGUGCAAAUUAGUUGGAGAGGUUUUUUGUUAGGUCAUGUAAGACUUUUGUUGGUUAAACUAUUAGAAAUUCAAGAGCAAAUUGGGUCCUCUAAUAUAAA